AGUGAACGCUGGCGGUAGGCCUAACACAUGCAAGUCGAACGGCAGCACAGUAAGAGCUUGCUCUUACGGGUGGCGAGUGGCGGACGGGUGAGGAAUACAUCGGAAUCUACUUUUUCGUGGGGGAUAACGUAGGGAAACUUACGCUAAUACCGCAUACGACCUACGGGUGAAAGCAGGGGAUCUUCGGACCUUGCGCGAUUGAAUGAGCCGAUGUCGGAUUAGCUAGUUGGCGGGGUAAAGGCCCACCAAGGCGACGAUCCGUAGCUGGUCUGAGAGGAGGAUCAGCCACACUGGAACUGAGACACGGUCCAGGCUCCUACGGAGGGCAGCAGUGGGGAAUAUUGGACAAUGGGCGCAAGCCUGAUCCAGCCAUACCGCGUGGGUGAAGAAGGCCUUCGGGUUGUAAAGCCCUUUUGUUGGGAAAGAAAAGCAGCAGGUUAAUACCCCGCUGUUCUGACGGUACCAAAGAAUAAGCACCGGCUAACUUCGUG
rnacentral:rRNA from 1 species